UUAAGGGUAAUUUAUUGAAAAAAUGCCUUCCCCUGGGCCUCUCAUAGUGCCCCAUGCCAGAGCAAACUGUGGCCCUGAACCAUUGCCUGGCCUCUGUGUCCAUAGGCUGCUGGCACUGAAGUGGGUUGCACAGAG